rnacentral:tRNA from 1 species
GGGGUUGUGGCUCAGUGGUAGAGCACUGGCCUAGCAUGCCUGAAGCACUGGGUUUGAUCACCAUCACCACA